UGUCCGGCAAAUAUUUAUUUUAGCAAUAUGGGACAAUACUUCCUGGUGUGUUGCUUCAGAACUGUUCUCUGAGUGGGAGUACCAUCCUCGCAUGAUAAGAAAAGAAUGGCUACAGGCUGAAACCAGCUAAGCCCUGACCCAACUGGCUCACCUGAAGGCUGGUUCUCCUGGAGUUACCCUAUUGAAGUGGAUGCUGGUGUAAAGAAUUCACGCAAAAGGAAGAAACAGUACUUGGAGCAAUGCCACUGAUUUUUCUUGAGUUACGCCAGGGAAAUGUUUGACUUGCAGAGACUAGUCACUAACUGGAAGAGAUGGCCUGGGGCUACAGAUGAGGGCUUGACUGUGUACACGUGAGAAGCAGCCACACAGCAGUGGCAACAGGGUGAUGGUCAAGUCAAGCAUUCACAGAGAAGCUUUUCCUGGAAGAGCCACCUUUGUUCAACUUUGCCAGUUCUGGUGGGGGGCUUGUGACAACAGUCUAAAGAAGGACACACAGACCUUACCUACAGUCCAGCUUGCUCUGGGCAAGCAGCAAUGCUGCUGCAUGCAGAGGCAGAGCCACCCAGCAAGAAGGGCCAGCUUGCAAAUGACAAAAGCACUCAAGAACGAUUUCUCCCCCCCUCAGGGAAAGGCAAGAAGAAAGAAAGGAAUGUCCUUUUUUGCUGCUGUUCUUUGCAUUGUAAAAGCAUGCAUGCACUUGAUUUGUAUCAGUAAGAACGUUUUCUGGGCUAAUGUGAAAUUUAUACAUGAGCCUCACUAUCAAGCAAUUGCAACACAUGCCUUCCAAGGGAGUUGCAUUGCAGUGACAGUUAACUGAAUUAUUUGGAGAAUCUUAUCAUUUAUAAUCAAGCAAACUGGUCCACUGACUAGUGCAGAGGCUGGGAAUGGGAGAGUUAGGUUCAAUUCCAUGAUCUUUAUGGGUCCUUUCCAACUUCAGAUUUUCUAUGAUUCUGUAAUUCAUUACUUCAGCAUAAACACCUUGUUGAAUUGUGUUGUUCAUGUUUCCCAGACACCUGCAGCGCACCUAUUGCUACUGUGAUCAUUAGGUACAUCCAGUAUCUCUUUUAUUGUUUAUAAGGAAACAGAAUAAAAAACAAAGGAUGAAAUUCACCUCUUCUGAGUUCAGCUGUCUAAGCCAGCUACCCUGGAUUUCAAAAUAUCCAAUGCUGAGAAACUGAUAACUUCCCAAGAGCUCUUAUGCACCAGUCUUAGGCUGAGACAAAUCAUUCCAGAAAGGGGCUGGAGAACGGGUUAGUUAAAACAAUCUGAGCUGAAUCCUGCAGAGACAUAACAUGGACUGCCCUAUUGCAUCACACUGAUGACCCAAUAAGCAUGGGACUCUCCGGUGAGAGCAGAGAAAAACACAUAUCAUUCAACUCCUAUGCUUAUUCAAAGUCAAGGAUUCUCACAAUUUUGACAUCAGUAACACCAUAACGAAACAGAACACAGGAAAGUAAUGUGACAUCAGCUGAAAUGAUUUAUUAUGAAAAAUAAUUAAAUUAAAGGUUACUUGGGGCUCAAUAGCUGCAGCAUUUUAAAAUGGAAAGCUAACAGUUAAUGCACUUCAUAUCUACUUGGUUCGAAAGCAUUCCCUUCAAAACAAUUCCCAUAAGCCCCCACACAGCAGACUGAGGACACCACACUCUAAGAAAGUCACAGUCCUCAGUUCUCUUUCAGGUCACACAAGACUAAACUGUUCAAGUAGCAGAAGCAUCUGCCUUCCUUGUGUACUCCAAAGGUAUUGUUGGACUAUUUUGAUCCCUGUCCAUAUAAGAUACCGUCACUAGUACCAUUGGGCAUGCUAGCUGGGACUCAGCCGUUUAUAACACAAAUCAUAGUCACAUAACCAGUAGUGAGACUGAACAUCAGUCUCUCACCUGACACCCAGCUCAGAGUUUGAUGCUGACAAAUAAUAAAAAAACACUAGUGAGAUAAGGACUCACAAUAAGGAUGCAAAUAUAGCAAUUUUGUAGAGUAUAUGUAAAACAUGUUUUUAUACUCCUGAUGUAGUGCUCACUGUGCAGAAGGAAAAAAGCACCUUGCUUUCCUCCAGUGACCCAGAGUCACAGCCAAAGUAGGUGCAGGACCACGGGGGAGAAGAACGCAAAUGCUCUUCUGAGCUGAGUCCUGCCUGUCUGACUGAACCGCAGCUGUGGAAGUGAUUGCUGUUUCCCUUCUAAGGUGGAAAGAAUCAAAAGCUGGUGGCAGAAUGAGGAUAGAGGUAUGAACAGAAAUGCCAGAAGGAAGCCUUGGGGGGGCCUGGAAGAUGAGCACAUCCUCCCUUACUGGAUGGAUCUCUGUGCAAGGAUCACCCUCUCAUGUCAGAAGGGACAAGAGCCAGAGGAUCCAGUGAAGUGACUGCUGGUCCCAGUGGUCCAUGGAGAUUUUCUAACGUUUAUGUGUUUCCAGAACAGAAGCAUUGUACUUCUAUCAGGAAACAGUGAUUCCCACAAACUGCUAUUUCUGCUCCUGUACCUCAAGUAAUUAAUAAAGUUCUGGAGUUAAUAAAAUCUGCUGUUAUCUUCCUCACUGUCAUUGUAGUUCACUGGUAUUUAAGCUUAGAAUUAAAAGAAUAAACUCAUGCAGUAAUUUUUACAGGAGGUCACAGCACCCAGCUAUAGUAUAAUGACAGUAUUUUCUUUUUUCUUACCUGUUUCACUGACCCAUCUUGUGCAGUGCAACCUAUAAAAUGAAUUAUAGAUUCCUUUAAUGAUAACUGAACCAGGGAAAACAGAAGCCGGAGGACAGGAAUAGAAGGAAGGUCUUGAAAUCUGAGAAACAGCCACAAAGAGAGAUCCAGAGUGCAAAGUCACAGGUUGCAUACCCAAAACAUCUUAAAGAUCCUCCUCUUUGUUCUUUUGAAAGUUGCACUUUCUGCAUAAGAGCAGGCAGAAACUGCCAAUUUGAAACAUUUCAAGCCUAACUAGAAAGGGUCAGUAUCAAGGUCUCCCCCGUUUCCUCUAUACCCAGAACCUCCACCUUAAUGUGCUCUUCUAGUCAGGGUCUUAUCC